GAUCCUGGCUCAGAGCGAACGUUUACGGCGGGCCUAACGACAUGCAAGUCGAACGCACUAGCAAUAGUGAGUGGCGCACGGGUUGCGUAACACGUGGGUAAUCAACCCUUCAGCUUGGGAUAACGACUUGAAAGGGUCGCUAAUACCGGAUACGACGCGAGAGGCUUCGGCUUCUCACGAGAAAGCCUCGCAAGGGGCACUGAAGGACGAGCCUGCGGCCCAUCAGCUAGUUGGUGAGGUAAGAGCUCACCAAGGCUAAGACGGGUAGCUGGUCUGAGAGGAUGAUCAGCCACACUGGAACUGAGACACGGUCCAGACUCCUACGGGAGGCAGCAGUGGGGAAUAUUGCGCAAUGGGCGAAAGCCUGACGCAGCCACGCCGCGUGAGCGAUGAAGGCCUUCGGGUCGUAAAGCUCUGUGGGGAGAGACGAAGAAAGCCCGUGAAGAGCGGGCCUUGACGGUAUCUCCUUAGCAAGCACCGGCUAACCCCGUG
rnacentral:rRNA from 1 species